GACGAACGCUGGCGGCGUGCUUAACACAUGCAAGUCGAACGAAGAGCGAUGGAAGCUUGCUUCUAUCAAUCUUAGUGGCGAACGGGUGAGUAACGCGUAAUCAACCUGCCCUUCAGAGGGGGACAACAGUUGGAAACGACUGCUAAUACCGCAUACGAUCUAACCUCGGCAUCGAGGAUAGAUGAAAGGUGGCCUCUACAUGUAAGCUAUCACUGAAGGAGGGGAUUGCGUCUGAUUAGCUAGUUGGAGGGGUAACGGCCCACCAAGGCGAUGAUCAGUAGCCGGUCUGAGAGGAUGAACGGCCACAUUGGGACUGAGACACGGCCCAGACUCCUACGGGAGGCAGCAGUGGGGAAUCUUCCGCAAUGGACGAAAGUCUGACGGAGCAACGCCGCGUGAGUGAUGACGGCCUUCGGGUUGUAAAGCUCUGUUAAUCGGGACGAAAGGCCUUCUUGCGAAUAGUUAGAAGGAUGGCGNA
rnacentral:rRNA from 1 species